rnacentral:rRNA from 1 species
GUUGGAUAACUGAGGUAAUUCUUGAGCUAAUACACGCUUUUUAUACCACAUUACUGGUGCGUUUAUUUGAUUAAACCAUUUUUUCGGUUGACUCAAAAUAUCCUCGCUGAUUUUGUUACUAAAACAUACCGUAUGUGUAUCUGGUUUAUCAACUUUCGAUGGUAGGGUAUUGGCCUACCAUGGUUGUGACGGAUAACGGAGAAUUAGGGUUCGACUCCGGAGAGGGAGCCUGAGAAACGGCUACCACAUCCAAGGAAGGCAGCAGGCGCGAAAAUUACCCAAUUUUAGUUAAAAGAGGUAGUGACGAAAAAUGACAACCAAAUAUUAUUUUUAGUAUUUGGAUUGAAAAUCUUCAAGUUUAAAUAACUUGUUGGUAAAGGAAAGGGCAAGUCUGGUGCCAGCAGCCGCGGUAAUACCAGCUUUCCAAGUGCAUAAAAUGAUUGUUGUGGUUAAAAAGCUCGUAGUUGGAUUAUAAAGAUUGUGUAAUGAGCAUCUUGGAUGUUAUUUUCAUUACCAUCUUAUUUUUUUAUUAUAUUAGAAAUAAUAUAAUAACUGUUACUUUGAAUAAAUCAGAGGGUUCAAACCAGGCAUUAUAUGCUUGUAUGGUCUAGCAUGGAAUAACACUAUAGAAAAAGUUAGUGUGGUUUCACUAUCUUUUUCAUGAUUAAUAGGAACAAACGGGGGCAUUCGUAUCGCUACGUUAGAGGUGAAAUUCUUGGACCGUAGCGAGACGUCCUACUGCGAAAGCAUUUGCCAAGAAUGUUUUCAUUAAUCAAGAACGAAAGUUAGAGGUUCGAAGGCGAUCAGAUACCGCCCUAGUUCUAACCGUAAACUAUGCCUACUAGGUGUAUGAAUUAUUAGUUAUAAUAAUUUAUGCACCUUCUCGGAAACGAAAGUCUUUCGGUUCCGGGGGAAGUAUGGUUGCAAAGCUGAAACUUAAAGGAAUUGACGGAAGGGCACCACCAGGAGUGGAGCCUGCGGCUUAAUUUGACUCAACACGGGAAAACUCACCCGGGCCGGACACUAUAAGGAUUGACAGAUUGAUAGCUCUUUCAUGAUUUAGUGGUUGGUGGUGCAUGGCCGUUCUUAGUUCGUGGAUAUGAUUUGUCUGGUUGAUUCCGAUAACGAGCGAGACUUUUAUGUUAUAUUAAAUUAUAUUAUUUUUUAAUAAUAUUAAUUUUAAUAACAGAUUAAUAGUGUUUAACUAUUUGAGAGAGAGCGAUAACAGGUCUGUGA